UACGUAGGGGGCAAGCGUUGUCCGGAUUCAUUGGGCGUAAAGAGCUCGUAGGCGGCUUGGCAAGUCGGGUGUGAAAACUCCAGGCUCAACCUGGAGACGCCACCCGAUACUGCCGGACUAGAGUUCGGAAGAGGCGAGUGGAAUUCCCGGUGUAGCGGUGAAAUGACGCAGAUAUCGGGAGGAACACCUAUGGCGAAGGCAGCUCGCUGGGACGGUUACUGACGCUGAGACGCGAAAGCGCGGGGAGCGAACGGG
rnacentral:rRNA from 1 species